UGCAGUCGACAGGAUUCGAACCUGUGCAGGAAGAUCCCAAUAGAUUUCUAGUCUAUCGCCUUAACCACUCAGCCACGACUGC
rnacentral:tRNA from 1 species